UAAUAUUGGACAACAUAUACGUAUAAACGCUAAAGGUACAGAUACUCAUUUCGGAGAGCCGCCAGCUUAGGAUUCUACUCAAUGAGUUUGAAGUGCUCCAUUGUCUCGGAGCCCAAACUUUGGGUACUAAUCCUUAUAAUGUAUAUAUUUGUGUAUUUAGGGGUACGACGGGGCCCUGUCCCGUCAUAUGUUAUUGUUAAUCCUCUUAGAGGUCUGUAGACACAUGAGUGGGUUGUAUGUAAAUGUUGUCUGGUGUACUAGUAUUGCUUAUGUUUUUGGACAUUUACAUUCGGAGUGAAAGCCUUGUCGGCUUACGUAUUAUGUUAUCUUAUUUUUGACAA